AACGAACGCUGGCGGCGUGGAUAAGACAUGCAAGUCGAACGGGACAGACCGAGUAGCAAUAUUUGGAAUGUUCAGUGGCGAACGGGUGCGUAACACGUGGAUAACAUUCCGGAAAGCGGGGAAUAGCCCAGGGAAACUUGGAUUAAUACCGCAUGUGGCCGCAAGGCUAAAGACGGGGACCGCAAGGCCUGUCACUUUCCGAUUGGUCCGCGGCCUAUCAGCUAGGUGGCGGGGUAAUGGCCCACCAAGGCUACGACGGGUAGCUGGUCUUAGAGGACGACCAGCCACCAUGGAACUGAGACACGGUCCAGACACCUACGGGUGGCAGCAGUCGAGAAUCUUUCACAAUGGGGGCAACCCUGGUGGAGCGACGCCGCGUGGAGGAUAAGGUCUUCGGAUUGUAAACUCCUGUCAUGCGAGAACAAGGUACUCAGGCUAAUAACCUGAUUGUUUGAUGGUACCGCAAGAGGAAGAGACGGCUAACUCUGUGCCAGCAGCCGCCGUAACAC
rnacentral:rRNA from 1 species